rnacentral:lncRNA from 1 species
AUUCUGCAUACAGGCACUAGUAUCUCUUCUGCAUCUUCUCCGUGCAGCCUUGGCUCUAAUCCUGGCACUUUCUGUAGUGAUCUAAAACACCAAGCAAGAACACCUGCCCUCUGUUCUUUAUAAAGUUAUGUUUUGAUGAUUCACUGUAUGUUAAAUUGUCAUAAAUGUUUCUAGGAGCAGAUUUUAAAUUUAAAACAUUCGGAGUGAUUUAUUAUGAAAAUACAGUGGAUAUAUAUAUGUGCUUACAUUCACACAUAAUAUUGGGGUCUUACAGAAACAUCUCUAAGCUUUUUGUAAUUUCAUUUCUAUAGACUGCAUUUUUUAAUGAUGUGAAAUACUAUUUUUUAAAUAAGAUGGCUAGUGUUACACGUGCCUUAUGCUUAUCACAUACAGCUAAAUUGUUCCAACCGGGUGUAUGGAGAGAAAGGGAAGUUAUUCCUAUUUCUGUUCAAUUGGCAGGCCAGAUUUGAGCGCCAAGGCAGAGCCUCCUAAACCUUCUGACUUGACCACAAGGGUGCCCAGAUGUCCAGGAGGCCGGCACAGGCUAAGGGACUGUGUUUGUCCCUGAGAAGAGGUUUCCUGGAGCCCAAGAUUUUGGAAAGCUUGGUUAGAUUCUCAAGUACCACAUCCUCCCAGUAAACUGGAGCUGAAACUGAUCCCAUUCCUCUUUGACCUCCCUGUACUGAGGCUGACCCUAGCCUGCUGCCCGGUGCUGAGAUCUAAGGCCUUAUGCAGGGCUGACGAGAACAGUGGAGGCAUCAGUUGCAGCUGUUGGGCCUAUCGGACUAACAAGGAAGCCAAACGUAAAGUAACCUCCUGGACAGAAAAACAAAAAUCUUUUGCGGCCUAGCUCCGGGCUUCCUAGGUUGGGGCCACCUCUAGGGGGCGGGGCCGCCGCCCUGUUUCGGCGUCUUCCCAGAAGCCCCCGCGCGGCCUCGCUCGGGUAAAAAAGGCGGGAUCGCGGCCCAAGGCGCCAGUCCUGGGGGUCCUGCCUUUCGCCUUCUAGUGUCAGUGGAGCUGUCUCUCCGCCGCGCCUGGGUCGUGUCUCUCUGCCAGGGUUCCUCAGGAAGGCGACCACACAGACUGUUGAGGGCCCAGCGGGUCUCAAGGCCUGGGGCCCUCAGUUGAAAGAUACAGGAGAGAAAAGUCUGCAAGAAAGUAACCCUUGCGAAGAGACCCAGAAUGAGAUUGCUCCAUUGAGCGAGUCAGUGACUGAUGACCUCCAGGUUGACAGUAGUUCAUCAGAUAGUGAGCUAGUAUCAGGACCAAGUUUACAACAUGAUAUUUCCAGUUCUCUUCUGAGCUAUUCAGUCACAGAGUCUUACACAGAAUUCAACAGUGUUGAAGAAAAUUUAAGUAGCUUUUCGUCACCUGAACUGUUCAGAGGAUCAAAUUAUUUGGAUUGGGAGUGUCCCAAAUUGACAGAACACGUGCAGUGCAAGAAUUCUACUCUCCUGGACAGCAGUAAAGCAGUGGCCGUAGAGAAGGCACCAGAGUUUUCAAACCUCUCUGCAAUUUUGGAUAAUGCAGAUUGUGAGGUUUUACUUGCUGAGAAAAUUUGCCCUUCAACCUCUGAAGAAACAGAGAAAAAACCUGAAAAAGAUUCAGAAGAUAGAGCUACAAAUAUUCAGACAAAGUUAAAUCAUCAUGCACAAAUCGACACUGUGUCAUCCCACCACAGGCUUGCUCUUGAAAGCAGUGCACCUAGCUCAGUUACUGGAGUUCUGCUGCCUCAGCCCCUGGCACCUGCCUUGAAAACAAAUUCUCAUAUUCCUAAUAAGAGAAGUGGAGGCCUGGUAACAAGUACUCCAUCUUCAGAGACAGCUGGUUUUGUGUUUCCUUCGAACAGACCAGAAAUCUGUUGUAUUAUUAAGGCAUCACCAGGAGUUAGACAGAUGAAAAGUAAAGGUGUUAUUAUAAAGAAGAAGAGAUAUUCUCCUCCUAGAGAUAUUCCUCAAGAUAUUAUAACAAAAGCAAAUGGCAAGAUAUAACAGCUAUGGAUGAAAUUUUAUUACUUUGAAGAUAUGAAUGUGAACUCAAAGUCCUUAAAAGAAUGUCUACAUAAAAUUAUAUGAAAUGUCUACCUGAAGUUAUAUGAAAUUAAAAAAUUCAGAAUUCUCCAAUUUUUGUGAUAUUUCUCUGUGUAGAAAUUCUCUUGAAAUUUUUGUAAUUUACUUUUAAUCAGUGAAGAAAAUUCUUCCAUAGGCUUCUUAAAUACAUGUAUUUGUAUUAUAAAAGCAGAGCCAAAUAGAUGAUAUUAGAAAACUAAACAUUAAAAUACACGAUUUUGCUAUUUGUAAAGAGCCAGCACUAAGGAAUUCUGGAACUUCCUUUGUUUUUGUUUUUGUCCCCUAAAGUCUAUCCUUUGUAUGGAUUAAAGGAGUAAAGUUGUUGAAGUGCUA